CGGCCUGCUGGGAAAUGUAGUCUCUUGGCCGCCCAAGGGCGCUCCCUGUCGGCCUCAAAGAAUUACUGUAAAGAGAGUGAAGGUUCCUUCUCCGAGCUUGUGGAUUGGUUUCUGGACGUUUCGUUACCAGGCUAGUUUUCUGAGGCUGCAGCAGCUAUGGAAGAGCAUUUUCUGAAGAUACUUCAAGAAAGAAAAUCCUGUGUGACCUGGAGCUGCCUUAGGUACACCACAGGGACCUGCCAACUGAGAGAGAACAUUGUCUGAAGAUAAGAUCAGAAAUGGUUCAGAAAUGGAGACAACUAGAAAAUCCCAGAGCUGCAAGAUUUGACUAUAUAGUUGAAAAAGCCUCCUGGAAGAUGAUACAACAAGCCACUUCUGUGGCUAAGACAACUAAUGUACAGUGUUUGGAUCUGCUUAAGACGUUGAGCGAGUCCUUGUGAGGACUUGCUUAAGGCAAGGAGACAAUCCUUUUAUAAUUAGAUUGCUAUGAAGAACAAGUUAGAUCAUGGGUGUCCAACCUUUUGAUUUGCCUGGGCCACGCUGAGUAAAGAGGAAUUGUCUUGGGAUACAUAUAAAAUAUAUAACAGUAGGGAAUGUAUAUAAAUUUUAAAAACCCUUUUUUAUUAUAUCUUGUCGAGCUACAUUAUUGGCUGUCCAGGGCUGCAUAAGGUCCAUGGGCUGUGGGUUGGACAUGCCUGAGGUAGAUGAAGAAACAGUACAGAUGAGAGGAUUUUGCUUUAAAUUACAUGUGCAGGGCAAAAGUUCAAAAACGGAUUGUCUGGUGUUUGGAAUAUAGUACUGUACUUUUUUUACUGGCAGGAUAUAAAAGAGUUUACAAGUUUUUAAAAAAACCUUCAUCAGAAAAGGGGUCAUACUGCGUAACCUUGAAAAGACAUGGCUCUAAAAUUAGCCAGAUUAUGUUUCUUCUUUCCCUUUUCUUAUAACCUACUUGUCUUUUUCAAAUUAAUUUCCUUUCUCCUCUUACGAUUUGGUUUCUCUACUGUUUUUAGAAUCUUAUGGUACAAUUGGUUACAAUUAUGGGAUGGGGCAGGGAGGGGGAAAUAUGAAAUAUUAGUCAUUUCCACCAUCUUUCUCUCAAAAGUGUCAAUUGCUAUACAGGUAACUCUGUAUUGCCUGCUUUUUUGGAAGGAUUGCACAAUGCUGGCUUUGUGUCAGCAAGAUUUCUAAAUGUUUUGGGUAGUUUUGUUAUUGCCAAGACAAGGACCUAGAAUAAGAGAGAUGCAUGGAUACUUUUUUUAUUACCCUUGUGCUUUAUGCAUUUCCCAUUAUGAAUCUCUGACUUCAGCUUUAUCCAAAUUUGUAAUACAUUACUCAUGAUGUACUAUGACAACAUGUACCCUUAGGAUAAUGUCUAGCUGUCUUUUGCUAUUUUCCUCAGUGAAUAAUAUAAAGAGAUGAAAAAAUAGUAUAAAAAGUCAAAUAACAUUUUCACAAACAAUUGCCUACAAGGGUUUCCUAUUCCUCACACAAAUUUGAGGAAAUGUUCAAAUUAAAAAUGUUAAGAUUUUUAACAUUUAUUUUUUUCUAAAAUAUUAGAAAUGUUCUCACAGCAGCAUAAAAGAUUAAAAAAUAUACAAUUAUCAAUCCUUUGAUUAUGUGCCAUCAAAUUGGUGACUUAAUGACCACAUAGAUUUUCUCCAUCAUAUAAAUAUCAGUACCACAGUUAGUGUAUUUUACAGAGCUUCUGCCAAUUUACCUUUACAGUGAAUUUACUGAAAUAAAUUCAUUUUUUAGAAUGUAACUCACUUGUAGAAGGAAAAUAAAAAAAAAAUAUUGAAAUACUUUUGCAAAAAGAACAAUUCCUCAGGAUGAUCUGCCCCUAACCCAGUGUUUCUCAAC